rnacentral:lncRNA from 1 species
UUUUCGAUAAAAAUCAAAACAAGAAGUCACCAUUAAUCUUUUUUAGGAUGUGAUUAGCCACCUAAAAAUUUAUCCUUUUUUAUAAAACAUUUAAAAGAUUUAAAGGUAUUAUAAAAAUAACAAAUUAAGGUUCGUGAAAUCAAAUUUAGGGUGCUAGAGUUAAUUACGCGCAGGAAGGAUUAGCACCCCCAAUACACCCAAUGUGGCGAAAAAGAGUUUUUCAAGGAGAUAUGAAAUGGUCGCGUGGUUAAGAUCUCCAACUUCGCGUCUACUUUUAGGAAAUGUGUGGUGUCGAAAAUCUCAUAACGAGUCUAUCAAAGGUGAAAGAUAGCCCUAAAGUUAGGCUCAAGAGAUAGUCAUUCUCAAUUGUCAACCCACGUGACAAUCAUGCUUGUAAAACAGACGACUUCUUGAAAAUAAUGUUGAAGGAUCCAACAAUCAGUUAUCCUAAAUAAUAGUUGAAAGAAAUG